GUCUAUGGUUAUACCACCCUGAACAUGACUAAUCUUAGAAGCUAAAUGGGGUGGGGCUGGGUUAGCAGUUGGAUGGGAGAAAUGGUAGCAAGUUAUGAUUCACA
ensembl:rRNA 5S_rRNA 5S ribosomal RNA